rnacentral:rRNA from 1 species
AUUGAACGCUGGCGGCAGGCUUAACACAUGCAAGUCGAGCGGAGAUGAGGUGCUUGCACCUUAUCUUAGCGGCGGACGGGUGAGUAAUGCUUAGGAAUCUGCCUAUUAGUGGGGGACAACAUUCCGAAAGGAAUGCUAAUACCGCAUACGUCCUACGGGAGAAAGCAGGGGAUCUUCGGACCUUGCGCUAAUAGAUGAGCCUAAGUCGGAUUAGCUAGUUGGUGGGGUAAAGGCCUACCAAGGCGACGAUCUGUAGCGGGUCUGAGAGGAUGAUCCGCCAAACUGGGACUGAGAAACGGCCCAGACUCCUACGGGAGGCAGCAAUGGGGAAUAUUGGACAAUGGGGGGAACCCUGAUCCAGCCAUGCCGCGUGUGUGAAGAAGGCCUUAUGGUUGUAAAGCACUUUAAGCGAGGAGGAGGCUACUGAGACUAAUACUCUUGGAUAGCGGACGUUACUCGCAGAAUAAGCACCGGCUAACUCUGUGCCAGCAGCCGCAGUAAUAC